rnacentral:rRNA from 1 species
UACGUAGGUGACAAGCGUUGUCCGGAUUUACUGGGCGUAAAGAGCGCGCAGGCGGUCGAUCAAGUCGAGUGUGAAAGCCCCCGGCUCAACUGGGGAGGGUCAUUCGAUACUGAUCGACUCGAAGGCAGGAGAGGGUAGUGGAAUUCCCGGUGUAGUGGUGAAAUGCGUAGAUAUGUGGAGGAACACCGAUGGCGAAGGCAGCCCCCUGGGUCAAAACUGACGCUCAUGCACGAAAGCGUGGGGAGCAAACAGG